rnacentral:rRNA from 1 species
UACGGAAGGCAGCAGUGGGGAAUAUUGCACAAUGGGCGAAAGCCUGAUGCAGCUAUGCCGCGUGUAUGAAGAAGGCCUUAGGGUUGUAAAGUACUUUCAUCGGGGAGGAAAAACAAAACUAAUAAUUUUAUUUCUUGACGUUACCCGAAAAAGAAGCACCGGCUAACUCCGUGCCAGCAGCCGCGGUAAUACGGAGGGUGCUAGCGUUAAUCAGAAUUACUGGGCGUAAAGAGCACGUAGGUGGUUUUUUUAAGUCAGAUGUGAAAUCCCUGGGCUUAACCUAGGAACUGCAUUUUGAAACUGAAAUACUAGAGUAUCGUAGAGGGAGGUAGAAUUCUAGGUGUAGCGGUGAAAUGCGUAGAUAUCUGGAGGAAUACCUGUGGCGAAAGCGGCCUCCUAAACGAAUACUGACACUGAGGUGCGAAAGCGUGGGGAGCGAAACAGGGAUUAGGAU